GGGAGGAAGGAAGGAUAGGAGCGGGAAGGUUGGACACAGAGGCAGAUAGAUUGAAAGGGAAAUAGACGCGGAAAAGAGGAAGGGGAUUUUUAGAUCGGUUGGUAGAUAUGCUAAGCGGAUAAGGAGAUUCGUAAGUAGAUACCCACACAAGUUGAGCCAGACGUGAUUAUGUACAUAUAUCCAAAUAUAACGGGGGAGAGAGAGAGAGAGAGAGAGAGAGAGAGAGAGAGAGAGAGAGAGAGAGAGAGAGAGAGAGGCAGGCAGGAAGAAAGGAUAGGCAGCAGAUGGAGACAUACGGAGGCAAAGAAAGCACCCGUGUCAUAAGCCGAGGGGCAUUGGGGCAGGGCACAGGCGGGCACGGGUGUUAGUUAGGGUAAAUGACGGCGGCGGAGAGACAUUGUUGGCAGGGUGAGGCUCUGUGUAUACGUGUCUGUGUGUGUUUGUGUGUGUCUUCGUCGUUUAUGUAUGGUUGUGUGUGCGUGUGUGUUGCGCCCUCGGUCGCCAGUGUUUGUCUGCGUGUGCCUUCUACAUGUCUGUGUGCGUGAGUAUGUCUGUCUUCUACGUGUGUGUGUGAGUGUGUAUGUGCGCGGAUGGGUGCCCGUCCCUUGGACCCCUGGGCUGGCACUACUGUUGUUGGCACCACGAGGCUACCAACGCGCGCGAGAGCCGCCGUUUCGCUGCAGCUCCUGUUGGUAACGCUGGUGGUGGCAGUGUCGGUCGUGGUGGCGGUGCUGGCAGUGGCGCUGGGAUUGUGUUCGAAGGGGGUGGCAGGGCGAAGGAACGAGUGGGAAAGGGCAUUCAUAAGAGACCGGGACUCUCGGUAGGCCGAGUGGAAAUGGCAAAUCACCGAUAAAGGAGAGAGACAGACAGACAGAAAGAAAAAGAAGCAAAGAAAAGUGAAAAAAGAUAGAGAAGGAUAAUAUAUGAGUGAAUUAAGGAAUCGAAACAUGUGACAAGAAAAGAACGAAGUCGAAAGGAAAUUUAAAAGAGAGUGAAAAGCAAAGAUAAAGAAAGA
rnacentral:lncRNA from 1 species